UCCUCCGUGGCGCAAUUGGCUAGCGCGUUCGACUGUUACAACGACAGGGUAUCGAGAGGUUGACAGUUCAAGCCUGUCCGGGGGAG
rnacentral:tRNA from 2 species